UACGGGAGGCAGCAGGGGGGAAUAUUGCACAAUGGGCGCAAGCCUGAUGCAGCCAUGCCGCGUGUAUGAAAAAGGCCUUCGGGUUGUAAAGUACUUUCAGUCGUGAGGAAGGUGUUAAGGUUAAUAACCUUAGCAAUUGACGUUAGCGACAGAAGAAGCACCGGCUAACUCCGUGCCAGCAGCCGCGGUAAUACGGAGGGUGCGAGCGUUAAUCGGAAUUACUGGGCGUAAAGGGCACGCAGGCGGUUAAUUAAGUUGGAUGUGAAAUCCCCGGGCUUAACCUGGGAAUGGCAUUCAAGACUGGUUAGCUAGAGUCUUGUAGAGGGGGUAGAAUUCCAUGUGUAGCGGUGAAAUGCGUAGAGAUGUGGAGGAAUACCGGUGGCGAAAGGCGGCCCCUGGACAAAGACUGACGCUCAUGUGCGAAAGCGUGGGGAGCAAACAGGGAUUAGAUACC
rnacentral:rRNA from 1 species